rnacentral:rRNA from 1 species
UAAAGAAUUUCGGUUAUCGAUGGGGAUGCGUUCCAUUAGUUAGUUGGCGGGGUAACGGCCCACCAAGACGACGAUGGAUAGGGGUUCUGAGAGGAAGGUCCCCCACAUUGGAACUGAGACACGGUCCAAACUCCUACGGGAGGCAGCAGUGAGGAAUAUUGGUCAAUGGACGAGAGUCUGAACCAGCCAAGUAGCGUGAAGGAUGACUGCCCUAUGGGUUGUAAACUUCUUUUAUAUGGGAAUAAAACAGGGUAUGCAUACCCUCUUGUAUGUACCAUAUGAAUAAGGAUCGGCUAACUCCGUGCCAGCAGCCGCGGUAAUACGGAGGAUCCGAGCGUUAUCCGGAUUUAUUGGGUUUAAAGGGAGCGUAGGUGGAUUGUUAAGUCAGUUGUGAAAGUUUGCGGCUCAACCGUAAAAUUGCAGUUGAAACUGGCAGUCUUGAGUACAGUAGAGGUGGGCGGAAUUCGUGGUGUAGCGGUGAAAUGCUUAGAUAUCACGAAGAACUCCGAUUGCGAAGGCAGCUCACUGGACUGCAACUGACACUGAUGCUCGAAAGUGUGGGUAUCAAACAGGAUUAGAUACCCUGGUAGUCCACACAG